rnacentral:rRNA from 1 species
CGGAGGGUGCAAGCGUUAUCCGGAUUCACUGGGUUUAAAGGGUGCGUAGGUGGGCUAGUAAGUCAGUGGUGAAAUCUCCGGGCUUAACCCGGAAACUGCCAUUGAUACUAUUAGUCUUGAAUGUUGUGGAGGUAAGCGGAAUAUGUCAUGUAGCGGUGAAAUGCUUAGAUAUGACAUAGAACACCGAUAGCGUAGGCAGCUUACUACACAAAUAUUGACACUGAGGCACGAAAGACGUGGGGGAGUCAAACAGGAUUAGAUACCCUGGUAGUCCACGCCCUAAACGAUGGAUACUCGACAUCAGCGAUACACUGUUGGUGUCUGAGCGAAAGCAUUAAGUAUCCCACCUGGGAAGUACGACCGCAAGGUUG